rnacentral:misc_RNA from 1 species
UCACCCAUUAAGCCUGGCUUGUUGUUGGACUCUUGCGGCUGAAACAUGUGGCAGGUCCGAAAAAUAAUGACGGUGUCGUGCUCGACCCUAGAUGCAACGAGCUUUUUAUAGCACGCAUUGAAGUGGUCGACCGGCCUGGUCUUAACCAUUAAUUUCUAAGG